rfam:Dickeya dadantii 3937, complete genome.
AAAAGUUGUCACCGCAGGGCUUACUGUGAUAACUCUGUAGGUAUUCGUUCGACAGUAGAUUAAUGAACAACCUGAAAUGAAAGCCUUCAACCUGGUGAUUAGCCUAGUCGUGAUUAGCGUGGUGGUGAUUAUUAUCCCACCGUGCGGGGCAGCACUUGGACGAAGAAUGGCUUAGAAAUCAAGGCCGAAUUCAAGAAAACCCCCGCACCGAAAGGUCGGGGGUUUUUUUAUGGGCCGGCAAUCGCAACAAGGGAGCAGACAAUGUCGAUUAGCAUAAAAUCCUGUUUUCCCCAGAUAGA